rnacentral:rRNA from 1 species
AUGAACGCUGGCGGCGUGCCUAAUACCUGCAAGUCGAGCGAACGGACGAGAAGCUUGCUUCUCUGAUGUUAGCGGCGGACGGGUGAGUAACACGUGGAUAACCUACCUAUAAGACUGGGAUAACUUCGGGAAACCGGAGCUAAUACCGGAUGAUAUUUUGAACCGCAUGGUUCAAAAGUGAAAGACGGUCUUGCUGUCACUUAUAGAUGGAUCCGCGCUGCAUUAGCUAGUUGGUAAGGUAACGGCUUACCAAGGCAACGAUGCAUAGCCGACCCGAGAGGGUUAUCGGCCACACUGGAACUGAGACACGGUCCAGACUCCUACGGGAGGCAGCAGUAGGGAAUCUUCCGCAAUGGGCGAAAGCCUGACGGAGCAACGCCGCGUGAGUGAUGAAGGUCUUCGGAUCGUAAAACUCUGUUAUUAGGGAAGAACAUAUGUGUAAGUAACUGUGCACAUCUUGACGGUACCUAAUCAGAAAGCCACGGCUAACUACGUG